GACGAACGCUGGCGGUGUGCUUAACACAUGCAAGUCAACGAGAAUUUAUCUUCGGAUAAUAGUAAAGUGGCGAACGGGUGAGUAACGCGUAAAUAACUUGCCUUGGAGAUUGGGACAACAUUGGGAAACCAGUGCUAAUACCAAAUAAUGCAGCGGGCCCUUCGGGGCAUAGUUGUUAAAGUAGGCUUCGGCUUACACUUCAAGAUAGAUUUGCGUCCGAUUAGUUAGUUGGUAGGGUAAUAGCCUACCAAGACCGAGAUCGGUAGCUGGUCUGAGAGGAUGAUCAGCCACACUGGAAUUGAGAUACGGUCCAGACUCCUACGGGAGGCAGCAGUGAGGAAUUUUGCACAAUGGGCGAAAGCCUGAUGCAGCAACACCGCGUGAUUGAUGAAGUUUUUAGGAAUGUAAAAAUCUGUCGUAAGGGAAGAAAUGUUUCGG
rnacentral:rRNA from 1 species